GGCUCCGUAGAGCAGUGCGGUUCUUGCGCUGUCCGGUGCGCUCGCGUCGGCCCUUGAAAAUCCGAGUGAGGGAGUGUGAUUUUCGUGCCGGACCAUACCCACAUCCGCAGCAGGUCUCCAAGGUGAACAGCCUCUAGUCGAUGGACCAAUGUAGGUAAGGGAAGUCGGCAAAACGGAUCCGUAACCUUGAGAUAAGGAUUGGCUCUGAGGACUGAGCCGGUCGGGCUGGGGACCUGAAGCAGGAACGGCACUGCACCGGGACUGGGCGGGGCUCGCCGUUCACGCGGCGCGGCCAAGCCCGGACCAGCGUCGGGACCUUCCUGUGGAAAGCCUCAGCUGCGCGGCGUCCGAGGGCUUCGUGCCCAAAGUGCUAUGCUUCGGCCGGCAAAAAACAGUCAACUCAGAACUGGCACGGACCGGGGGAAUCCGACUGUCUAAUUAAAACAAAGCAUUGCGAUGGCCGCUGGUCGGUGUUGACGCAAUGUGAUUUCUGCCCAGUGCUCUGAAUGUCAACGUGAAGAGAUUCAUCAAAGCGCGGGUAAACGGCGGGAGUAACAAUGACUCCUAGAAAAGUGGCGACCGAGUGGUCGCCACUCCAAGCCCAGGUGUGGGGUCUGGUGAACCCUCACGCCGAAUUGAUGACGUCGGGGGCGCGGCAGGCCCCCCGGCAGUCCCCACUUGCUCGUGUGGGAAGUCCUUCGGGACACUGAAGGGGCUGCGUGUUCACGCUGCAUUGAAGCACCAUGUGGUGCCGAGCCACUUCAGAAGAGCCACGCAGGCACCGGCUAGGUCGGCCGGUGCCUCAUCAAUUAACAGAUCGGUGAGGACUCCGCCCCCUCGCCAUGAGCGAGAUGAGACUUUGGCCGUGUCGGGUUGUGGCGGCCUCAGUCUCGGUGGAGAGGUUGGUGACCCAGGAGAUGACCGGCGACCCGAGGAGGAUGCCAUGGGGGUGUCACAAACAAAAAAUUGAAAUUUAACAAAAA
rnacentral:ncRNA from 1 species